AGUGAACGCUGGCGGUAGGCCUAACACAUGCAAGUCGAACGGCAGCACAGUAAGAGCUUGCUCUUACGGGUGGCGAGUGGCGGACGGGUGAGGAAUACAUCGGAAUCUACUUUUUCGUGGGGGAUAACGUAGGGAAACUUACGCUAAUACCGCAUACGACCUACGGGUGAAAGCAGGGGAUCUUCGGACCUUGCGCGAUUGAAUGAGCCGAUGUCGGAUUGCUAGUUGGCGGGGUAAAGGCCCACCAAGGCGACGAUCCGUAGCUGGUCUGAGAGGAUGAUCAGCCACACUGGAACUGAGACACGGUCCAGACUCCUACGGGAGGCAGCAGUGGGGAAUAUUGGACAAUGGGCGCAAGCCUGAUCCAGCCAUACCGCGUGGGUGAAGAAGGCCUUCGGGUUGUAAAGCCCUUUUGUUGGGAAAGAAAAGCAGCAGGUUAAUACCCCGCUGUUCUGACGGUACCCAAAGAAUAAGUACCGGCUAACUUCGUG
rnacentral:rRNA from 1 species